UUAAGUCCCGCAACGAGCGCAACCCCUCGCUGCCUGUUGCCACCACGAGAGGUGGGGACUCAGGCGGGACCGCCGGUGACAAACCGGAGGAAGGUGGGGACGACGUCAAGUCAUCAUGGCCCUUAUGUCCUGGGCUACACACGUGCUACAAUGGCCGGUACAGAGCGCAGCGAGGCCGCGAGGCGGAGCGAAUCGCUUAAAGCCGGUCCCAGUACGGAUUGGAGUCUGCAACCCGACUCCAUGAAGUUGGAAUCGCUAGUAAUCGCGCAUCAGCAUGGCGCGGUGAAUACGUUCCCGGGCCUU
rnacentral:rRNA from 1 species